rnacentral:rRNA from 1 species
AACGAACGCUGGCGGCAUGCCUAACACAUGCAAGUCGAACGAGAUCUUCGGGUCUAGUGGCGCACGGGUGCGUAACGCGUGGGAAUCUGCCCUUUGGUUCGGAAUAACAGUUGGAAACGACUGCUAAUACCGGAUGAUGACGAAAGUCCAAAGAUUUAUCGCCAGAGGAUGAGCCCGCGUAGGAUUAGCUAGUUGGUGUGGUAAAGGCGCACCAAGGCGACGAUCCUUAGCUGGUCUGAGAGGAUGAUCAUCCACACUGGGACUGAGACACGGACCAGACUCCUACGGGAGGCAGCAGUGGUGAAUAUUGGACAAUGGGCGAAAGCCUGAUCCAGCAAUGCCGCGUGAGUGAUGAAGGGCUUAGGGUUGUAAAGCUCUUUUACCCGGGAUGAUAAUGACAGUACCGGGAGAAUAAGCUCCGGCUAACUCCGUGCCAGCCGCCGCGGUAA